rnacentral:ncRNA from 1 species
GCUCAAAGCAGGCUCGAAUCUGGCGGGGCGGCUUCACGGCCGUCUCGUCAAAAGGCCCUGAAUACUGGUCGCAUGGAAUAAUGGAACAAGACCUCGGUCCCGCGCAUCUCCGCCCUUCGCGGGCGCGCGAAAUCGCCCUCCGGGGCGUUUCCGUGCGCGGGCCGCCGGGCCGCGGGCGCCAGUCGCCCGCGCGUCCCGCCGGGCCGGUUUUCGGGACCGGAGGUAAUGAUCAACAGAGACGGGCGGGGGCAUUCGUACCGAGACGUUAGAGGUGAAAUUCUUGGAUCGUCUCGAGACGAACUGACGCGAAAGCAUUUGCCAAGUACGUUCUCGUAUGAUCAAGAACGAAAGUUAGAGGUUCGAAGGCGAUCAGAUACCGCCCUAGUUCUAACUGUAAACGAUGCCAGCUAGCGAUCCGCCGGCGUUUCAUUAACGACCCGGCGGGCAGCUUCCGGGAAACCGAAGCUUUUCGGUUCUGGGGGAAGUAUGAUUGCAAAGUUGAAACUUAAAGGAAUUGACGGAAGGGCACCACCAGGAGUGGAGCCUGCGGCUUAAUUUGACUCAACACGGGAAACCUCACCAGGCCCGGACACCGGAAAGAUUGACAGAUUGAGAGCUCUUUCUUGAUUCGGUGGGUGGUGGUGCAUGGCCCGUUCUUAGUUGGUGGAGCGAUCUGUCUGGUUAAUUCCGAUAACGAACGAGACUCUGUCCUGCUAAACUAGGCGGGUAAACCCGGGUCGGCGUGUGCGCGGCGCUGGGCGGUUUCCGGCCGUCAGUGUUCGCGUAACCCGUCGGCUCGGCCCCGG